CUGCUCGCUUCGGCAGCACAUAUACUAAAAUUGGAACGAUACAGAGAAGAUUAGCAUGGCCCCUGCGCAAGAAUAUAAUUAUACUUAAAAAUACAUGACCUUAAGAU